rnacentral:rRNA from 1 species
GACGAACGCUGGCGGCGUGCCUAAUACAUGCAAGUAGAACGCUGAAGGAGGAGCUUGCUUCUCUGGAUGAGUUGCGAACGGGUGAGUAACGCGUAGGUAACCUGCCUGGUAGCGGGGGAUAACUAUUGGAAACGAUAGCUAAUACCGCAUAAGAGUAGGUGUUGCAUGACAUUUACUUAAAAGGUGCAAUUGCAUCACUACCAGAUGGACCUGCGUUGUAUUAGCUAGUUGGUGAGGUAACGGCUCACCAAGGCAACGAUACAUAGCCGACCUGAGAGGGUGAUCGGCCACCCGGGGACUGAAACACGGCCCAAACCCCUACGGGAGGCAGCAGUAGGGAAUCUUCGGCAAUGGACGGAAGUCUAACCGAAAAACCCCGGGGGGGUGAAAAAGGUUUUCGGAUCGUAAAGCUCUGUUGAAAGAGAAGAACGGGUGUGAGGGGGGAAAUUUCCCCCGGUGACGGUAUUUAACCAGAAAGGGACGGCUAACUACGU